rnacentral:lncRNA from 1 species
AGGGAAGAGCCACAGCUCUGGAGAGCACUCUUUUCUUCUGGUCCAUUAUUUUCCCUGAAGAGACCCCUGACGCCUAAAGGUAAGGCAGGAGCACUUUCUGCUUAUUCCCAUCCCAGCUUCUUCCCAUGGCUAGGAGCCUUCUGCACCUUCAUUUCCAGUCCCUUCACAGGAACUUGUCUCUCAUGAAUAGGCACCAAGCCUCCCACAAAAGGAAUUCACAGUUUCCAGUCCCAGUUCCCACACUGAGCAAAGUGUUUCACAUCAGAGGCACUGUGGGGGGCUCCACAAUGUAGCUGUAACUUCACAUCCAAACUCCUCAUCAUCAGCCUCCUGGAUGUGCACAGGUCCCCCAUAUCCCACACGUUGCACUGAGCAACCCCUGGGGGGAGGGGACAAGUGCAUGGAACAAUGUAAAGAG